rnacentral:rRNA from 1 species
AGAGUUUGAUCCUGGCUCAGGAUGAACGCUAGCGGCAGGCUUAACACAUGCAAGUCGAGGGGCAGCAUAAUGGAUAGCAAUAUCUAUGGUGGCGACCGGCGCACGGGUGCGUAACGCGUAUGCAACCUACCUUUAACAGGGGGAUAACACUGAGAAAUUGGUACUAAUACCCCAUAAUAUCAUAGAAGGCAUCUUUUAUGGUUGAAAAUUCCGAUGGUUAGAGAUGGGCAUGCGUUGUAUUAGCUAGUUGGUGGGGUAACGGCUCACCAAGGCGACGAUACAUAGGGGGACUGAGAGGUUAACCCCCCACACUGGUACUGAGACACGGACCAGACUCCUACGGGAGGCAGCAGUGAGGAAUAUUGGUCAAUGGGCGAGAGCCUGAACCAGCCAAGUAGCGUGAAGGAUGACUGCCCUAUGGGUUGUAAACUUCUUUUAUAAAGGAAUAAAGUCGGGUAUGGAUACCCGUUUGCAUGUACUUUAUGAAUAAGGAUCGGCUAACUCCGUGCCAGCAGCCGCGGUAAUACGGAGGAUCCGAGCGUUAUCCGGAUUUAUUGGGUUUAAAGGGUGCGUAGGCGGUUUGAUAAGUUAGAGGUGAAAUUUCGGGGCUCAACCCUGAACGUGCCUCUAAUACUGUUGAGCUAGAGAGUAGUUGCGGUAGGCGGAAUGUAUGGUGUAGCGGUGAAAUGCUUAGAGAUCAUACAGAACACCGAUUGCGAAGGCAGCUUACCAAACUAUAUCUGACGUUGAGGCACGAAAGCGUGGGGAGCAAACAGGAUUAGAUACCCUGGUAGUCCACGCAGUAAACGAUGAUAACUCGUUGUCGGCGAUACACAGUCGGUGACUAAGCGAAAGCGAUAAGUUAUCCACCUGGGGAGUACGUUCGCAAGAAUGAAACUCAAAGGAAUUGACGGGGGCCCGCACAAGCGGAGGAACAUGUG